UACGUAGGGGGCAAGCGUUGUCCGGAUUUAUUGGGCGUAAAGCGCGUGUAGGCGGCCAGAUAGGUCUGCUGUGAAAACUCGAGGCUCAACCUCGAGCUGUCGGCGGAAACCAUCUGGCUAGAGUCCGGAAGAGGAGAGUGGAAUUCCUGGUGUAGCGGUGAAAUGCGCAGAUAUCAGGAAGAACACCUAUGGCGAAGGCAGCUCUCUGGCCCGGUACUGACGCUGAGGUGCGAAAGCGUGGGGAGCAAACAGG
rnacentral:rRNA from 1 species